rnacentral:rRNA from 1 species
CCCUUAGAUGUUCUGGGCUGCACGCGCGCUACACUGAUGUGCUCAACAAGUUUUGUCCUUGCCUGGAAGGGUUGGGUAAUCUUUUGAAAAUGCAUCGUGAUGGGGAUAGAUCAUUGCAACUAUUAAUCUUCAACGAGGAAUUCCUAGUAAGCAUGAGUCAUCAGCUCGUGCUGAUUACGUCCCUGCCCUUUGUACACACCGCCCGUCGCUCCUACCGAUUGAGUGAACCGGUGAAUAAUUCGGACCGCAGCUUUGUUCAGUCUCUGAUCAUUGCUGCAGGAAGUCUAGUGAACCUUUUCACUUAGAGGAAGGAGAAGUCGUAACA